GACGAACGCUGGCGGCGUGCCUAAUACAUGCAAGUCGAACGAGAGCGACCGGUGCUUGCACUGGUCAAUCUAGUGGCGAACGGGUGAGUAACACGUGGGUAACCUGCCCAUCAGAGGGGGAUAACAUUCGGAAACGGAUGCUAAAACCGCAUAGGUCUUCGAGCCGCAUGGCUUGAAGAGGAAAAGAGGCGCAAGCUUCUGCUGAUGGAUGGACCCGCGGUGCAUUAGCUAGUUGGUGAGGUAACGGCUCACCAAGGCCGUGAUGCAUAGCCGACCUGAGAGGGUGAUCGGCCACAUUGGGACUGAGACACGGCCCAAACUCCUACGGGAGGCAGCAGUAGGGAAUCUUCCGCAAUGGACGCAAGUCUGACGGAGCAACGCCGCGUGAGUGAAGAAGGUUUUCGGAUCGUAAAACUCUGUUGUUAGAGAAGAACAAGUGCUAGAGUAACUGUUAGCGCCUUGACGGUAUCUAACCAGAAAGCCACGGCUAACUACGUG
rnacentral:rRNA from 1 species